CGAACUAUGAUUUAAAAUAAUGAAGUAGAUUAUUUUGCUUAAUUUGUAGGCUACUUACAUGUAAAAGUACAGCUUUAAAAAUAUACUCAAAAAGCACAAGUACAAGUAGAAACUACUUAAUUACAAUAGCGUAAGUUGUAAUUCGUUACCUCCACCACUGCAUAAGUAGUACUGAAAGUGAAAGCCUCUAUAAACGCUCGUGUGAGAGGCAGAGAGAGUCAGAGUGGAAUAAACUCAGACGGUGAGGACACACAGACCGCAGAAUUACAACCAUGAAUGCUGUAAAUGCUGUGCAACUGUUCUUUCUGGUUUUGAGCUUUACUGCUGUCUGUCAAGCUGAUGAUGAUAUCAGUGUAAGCUGUGAUGAUGUGACUGGAUCUGUGGGGAAAGAAGUAACUCUCACCUGCAACGUCUCACUACAGAGCGGUGAUUGUUCCAUUAAAAUGUGUAUGUUUCGAUACCCUAAUGACUCAGCCAUCUGUGAACAAGAGCUUCUUAAAGACUCCAGCUUCGCAUGCCGCUACACUCCAACUACAGCGAUGACAGAAAAUUUCAGCUUCUUUGUGCAAACAAAUUGUGGAAGUAAUGCAACAGAAUUCACUGUGGAUGUAACAGAGUCAUCAUUAGACGAAGCAGAUGUACGUGAAGAUAAAGGAUCAAAGGAUGAUGGAUCUAUGGAUGCUGUCAUCAGUACAGUUGUGGGCUUAUCUGUCAUCGUCAUCCUCAUCCUCAUCAUCAUCUUAAUAACAAUAAUUUGCAAAAAACAAUCUUUUGGGUGCGAGAAAAGGAUGUUUCUGUGUAUCAAACAUGAUGAUGGCAACAGUAAUUGUCCUGAACAAGUGAUAUAAUAUUGAUUCAGCAAAACAAAACUAUUGACUUUUCAAGAAUGUUUUGUUUCCAGUCAAGACUUGGAGAAACUUGUUCAUGCCUUUAUCACCAGCAAGGUGGACUACUGUAAUGGUCUCCUCACCAGCCUUCCCAAGAAGACCAUUAGACAGCUGCAGCUCAUCCAGAACGCUGCUGCCAGGAUUCUGACUACAACCAGAAAAUCUGAGCAUAUCACACCAGUCCUCAGGUCCUUACACUGGCUUCCAGUUACAUUUAGGAUUGAUUUUAAAGUACUUUUACUAGUUUAUAAAUCACUCAAUGACCUAGGACCAAAAUAUAUUGCAGAUAUGUCUACUGAAUAUAAACCUAACAGAGCACUCAGAUCAUUAGGAUCGAGUCAGUUAGAAAUACCAAGGGUUCACACAAAACAAGGGGAGUCCGCCUUUAGUUACUAUGCCGCCCGCAGUUGGAAUCAGCUUCCAGAAGAGAUCAGAUGUGCUAAAACAUUAGUAACAUUUAAAUCUAGAGUCAAAACUCAUCUGUUUAGCUGUGCAUUUACUGAAUGAGCGCUGUGCGAUGUCUGAACUGAUUGCACUGUAUCUUACGUAUUCACUGUAUUUUAUGUAAAAUCAUUUUCUAUUUUUUUUCUACUAUCUCUUGUGUCUCAAACUACUCAUUAUAUUAACUAAUAUAUUACAUAAUAACAGUUUAUUAUUGAUCUGUCUGAUCAGUGUGUAUAUUUGUAUAUGUGACUGUAAUGAACUCAAGCUUUUGUGAUCUUUAAGAGGAAACACAGAGGAACUCAAACUGUGUUUGGUUUUGCUCUUUUUUCUGACUUUAAAUGUAUGUCUGAAAUGAAUGUCAAUUUAGUACAGUGAGUGUUAAUAUGACUAAAGUUUGGAAAUUAUUUUUUUAAUAUUCUACACUUGCAGUGUUGUUUUGUACAGUGGUUCAUAUAUAAAAAUAAAAAAAUAACACAGAAAUGAAUAAAGACUUAAGGGGCACAUUAAUGCAUGGGCUGAAGCCCAGGGGCCUUCACUGGGAAGGGGGUCCACUGGCUGCAAGGAAAUUAUAUAUUUUUGAAUAAUUAUUUGAAUAUAUUGGAAUUUGCAGCAGUGUCAGCAGCAUUUAGUAAACAAAUUGAAACACUCAUUUUCAGCGAUGCCUUGGUUGUAGUUUAUAGUGUAUGGUUCAGUUUAAGUUUCCC
ensembl:lncRNA